CCCUGGGCUCCAGAGAUUCGGGAAUGCCCCCCAGAAAGCACCUAGUACCAGACAAAAGUGCCAUAAGGGGAUUCACACUUUGCAAGCCUAAGGAGGGAAGUGAGAACGACAACAUGCUCGAACUUAACUGGUCUCCAAACUACAUUCGAGACUCCAAUAACCCAAGAGGUUCAGAGAACACUAAAACUGACCCCACAGUUUGUCACAGAGAAAAUAAUGAAAAGAAACGGACAAUAAUGAUAAAACAUAUCCUACCUGAUUCAAUAGGGAAAGUAGGCCUGAACAACUCCCAGAAAUGACGCGCGACUGGCAGUCAUAAGGCAGGAAGAACAACUUGGUAGCUCAAAUCCUCACCAUCAUGUACAGGCAAAGCAGUACAAAGUAAAAGAGGCCAAUCAGCAGAAGUCCACAAAAAUGGAGCCAACUCACAGCAAACCAGGCUUUACAUCCCAAGCCAAUAGCAUGCUCAGAUGCUGUUGAAGUAUGCAGAUAUAUCACAUUAACAUACAUGAGAGUAGGUGGGAGUAUCAAGGCUAGUGGCAAGCAAAAAUUUAUGGCAAAAAGAAGGCAGUAUAACUUGAAAAAGCUUUUAAUGAGAUGAGGUAAGAUAUCGUAUUGAAAUGUAUCAUAAAACACCAUUGUUUACAUGACUGUCACAGAUAGAAACUAUAUAAAUUU